rnacentral:rRNA from 1 species
UAGGGAAUCUUCGGCAAUGGGGGGAACCCUGACCGAGCAACGCCGCGUGAGUGAAGAAGGUUUUCGGAUCGUAAAGCUCUGUUGUUAAGGAAGAACGAGUGUGAGAAUGGAAAGUUCAUGCUGUGACGGUACUUAACCAGAAAGGGACGGCUAACUACGUGCCAGCAGCCGCGGUAAUACGAAGGGGGCUAGCGUUGUUCGGAUUUACUGGGCGUAAAGCGCACGUAGGCGGACUUUUAAGUCAGGGGUGAAAUCCCGGGGCUCAACCCCGGAACUGCCUUUGAUACUGGAAGUCUUGAGUAUGGUAGAGGUGAGUGGAAUUCCGAGUGUAGAGGUGAAAUUCGUAGAUAUUCGGAGGAACACCAGUGGCGAAGGCGGCUCACUGGACCAUUACUGACGCUGAGGUGCGAAAGCGUGGGGAGCAAACAGG